UAUGAGGAAGGGAAUCCAGGUGUGUAUGAGGAAGGGAAUCCAGGUGUGUAUGAGGAAGGGGAUCCAGGUGUGUAUGAGGAAGGGAAUCCAGGUGUGUAUGAGGAAGGGGAUCCAGGUGUGUAUGAGGAAGGGAAUCCAGGUGUGUAUGAGGAAGGGAAUCCAGGUGUGUAUGAGGAAGGGAAUCGAGAUGCAGUACUGGAAGUAUUUGUAGAAAUAUUCCUGCCAGUUGUUGCCCAGCACCUGUUAGUAUAUAUAACUGUAAGAACUGUUAGGGCUCCUGGAUUGAUGAUGAAUUUAAGAAUUGUUUGGUUCAAAGACACAAUGAAAAAGAGGUGACAUACAAGUCAGGCUGCUCAGCUGAUUGGUUGACAUUCUGUAACUUGAGACUUUUUGUGACUAAACUUAACAAAAAUCAAUAAAUAAAAAUGAUAUUUCCAAACCAAGAUAAAUGACAUAAAACACAAUGGAAAAGGCUUUGGAGCACCUUAAAUUAUAUCAUGGGCCCAAUUCAACCCAAUUCAUUUCCAUCGUUCAUUGAAGUUUAUGGAUAAUUUAUAACAAAACCUUUUGAUAUUAACCAAUCAUUUCAAUGAGUAUUUCACUAGUAAAGUGGAAAAACUCAGAGGUGAAAUUAAAACAUUGAACAAGUGAACCAUUAUAUGUUUAUAUAAAAUAUCUAAUAAUGAAAAAGGUGUUGCUGUUUUCAAUUUGGUCAAGUUAGUGUUGGAGAGGUGGAGAAACCAUUGUUAUCUAUCAAUAAUGAUAAGCCUAUAGGUACAGACAACCAUGAUGGGGAACUAUAGAGAAUACUAGCAGACUGUAUUACCACCAGAUAUAUACAGCCAUGAUGGGAACCUAUAGAGAAUGGUAGCAGACUGUAUUACCACCAGAUAUAUACAGCCAUGAUGGGAACCUAUAGAGAAUGGUAGCAGACUGUAUUACCACCAGAUAUAGACAGCCAUUAUGGGAACCUAUAGAGAAUACUAGCAGACUGUAUUACCACCAGAUAUAUACAGCCAUGAUGGGAACCUAUAGAGAAUGGUAGCAGACUGUAUUACCACCAGAUAUAGACAGCCAUUAUGGGAACCUAUAGAGAAUGGUAGCAGACUGUAUUAC